AUCCUUAUGAAUCCGUGACGAGAUUUCCUCGGACACCACACCAUCAGUAUUGAUGAGACUCAAGAUAAGUGGAGCG
rnacentral:pre_miRNA from 1 species